rnacentral:tRNA from 1 species
GCCCUUUUAACUCAGUAGUAGAGUAACGCCAUAGUAAGGUGUAGAUCAUCAGUUCAAAUCUAAUAAAGGGCUC